ensembl:antisense Efhd1os EF hand domain containing 1, opposite strand
CAACUGUUUCCUUUGUUUUAUAAGAUAAAAGACAAUUCAGCUAAUUUCUCCCUUGAGGGAUAAAAUUAAGGCUGGCAGAUCCUUCAGGAGGCGGCGGCUGAACUCCGGGAACUCCGUGUAGGGAUUGAAGACCUUGGAGCGGCCGGGCCGCGCUGUACCCUGGUGGAUGUCCAGCCUGCGGCUCAGCUUGAGGUUCAGUUCGGAGUCCGCGCUGGCUGUGGGCGCCCGGGCAGGCGGUUCAGGUUCCGGGUGUCCGGCUGGGGCAGCGCAGGGUGCAGGCUGGAAGUCACCCUGGUCGGUCUCUGCCCGCACCUCAAGUCUCAACCGGCGCU